rnacentral:lncRNA from 1 species
CCUCAGCCUCCUGAGCCACUGGGCAAUCCUCCUGCCUCAGCCUCCUGAGCCACUGGGAUGACAGGCACACACCACCAUGCCCAGCAUGCUGAACCUGGUAACGUUUACUCCUACCCUGUAUCCCAGUUCAGGGCCCGUAGGUGUGGUCAUUGGUAGGAACUUGUUCUGUGAAGAACUUGUUGGAAUCAUUCUUUCACCCAUUCUUCUGGGAUGUUUCUAUCAUUCUUAUUGAUUCACAGAACUCUUUAUAUUUUCAGGCUACUACUAUGUUCCACACAUUGUAAAUAAGUUUUGUUCUCACUUUUCUUACUUUUUUUUUUAGUACUGGGGAUUAAACUCAAGGAUACUGUGGCCGGCUGUUGCCCUCACCUAUAAUCUCAGUGAUUUGGGGAGGUAGACAUUGGAUGCCAAGGCAGGAGGAUUGCAAAUUGGAGGCUAGCCUCAGCCACUUAGUGAGGCCCUGAGCAACUCAGCGAGAUCUUGUCUCUAAAUAAAAUACAAAAAAGGGCUGGGACGUGGCUCACUGGUGGAGCAUCCCUAGGUUCAAUCCCUGGUACCAAAAAAAAAUAGCAAUAAUAAUAAAUAAUUAUCAAAUCAGGAUACAAGAUACACACAAAUUAACCAUAUUUCCAUAUUACCAGCAAUAAACACCUGGCAACUGAAAUUUAAAAUAUGAUACCCUCAUUGUAGGCUCAAGGGGGUAAAAGGGUCAACUUGUUUGAAAGACUGUGCUAUCAGAAGAGAGAGCCAGUGUCCCCUGUUCCCACCAGGCCACCUAGGAAGCUGUUCCCCAGACGAGGGUCAUUUCACCCUGCUCAGCCAUUCAGGCACUCAGAGGUCACUCCAGCUAUGGUACAAACAGGCCAGGCUCCUGCCCCUGGGGGCAGCAGAUCAUGGUGUCAGAAUCAUGUAACUGGGUUAUUUAUUUAUUGGUCCUGGGGAUUGAACCCAGGGGUGCUUCACC